CACUCACACACGAAGGACAGGGCAUAUGCACACACACUCACACGCACACACGAAGGACAGGGCAUAUGCCCACACAAACACACACACACACGAAGGACAGUGUGUUGCUACACUGUAAAACCAAACAGUUCUACUAACUUAUUAACAUUAUCUAGGGUUAGGGUUAUUAACAUUAUCUAUUCAGUACUUAAAACCUGGUAUUGAGUUGACCCAACUUUAAAUGUAUUAGUUUUCUGAGCAAGUUUACUUGAGUAAACAUUACCUGAUAACUAAUAUUAUUUUUAGUAUCAUUCAAACGUGACGUCUGACGUCAUCAACGUCGUUGCAGGACUAGUUCAGAACAGAAUCAGAGACACGAUUGCGGAGAUCUUGUGAUGAGAGACGGAGACAGCAGACUUAAUAAAUGUUUAGCAUCAGUUAGACUUCUAUAAGCACGUUCCUCCUGUAGAAGAGGAGUCGACCGAAGGAGAUAUUUUAGUAAUCCUGUCGCUGCUAAGCGUCCUUAUCUGAGGAGAGAACCAGGCUACCCUUGAACAGACGAGACUGCAGAUCUUAGAAGAAGUUGAAAAGACAGAGAAAAAUCAGUUACUGAUUGAAAAACUCAUGCGAGACGACCUUUGCUCUACGCCGUAAAGACAUUGUUGAGAGUGAACCGCCAGUUAACGACUUCCUGAAUAGCUGGCCAGCCUUGAGAAUGGAAUCACAGGGUUAUUCAGUUCCACCGCAUUACAAAUGUGAACCUGCGCAACACAUUCUACUCAGAGCUUGACCGAUACACACCACGACUGAUCAUUCUACUCGGAGCUUGACAGAUACACACCACGACUGAUCACCUUGUACAGGCAGAAGGCAUCACGGACUGGCAAGACAGCAGAGGUGCUACGGGUGAUCCUCGAGGCUUAUGACCUUCAGGAAUAUCAUGAUGUCAAUUUGAGACGCACUUUGUCCCUUUGUGCACUUCCUGUCUACCUGCGUGAGGAUGUUUCGGUGUUCAAGACCUGCAAUGAGGAAGAGGAGCCAGAUUUCGAUGAUGCUCCUGUUGCUCUCCUUACAUCGGGUCCCGACCCCUUCAGCUGCGGGGAACGUCUUUGUCGUUGUUGAAGGCAAUGUUGUUUUGAAUGGGGUGCAGAGGUUUUCUGAGGCAUUUAUGUUUAUGUUGUUUGGCCUGACAUAUGCUUUCAAUUUAGAAUAUCCCCAAAAAAACUCACGCACACAUUCUCAUGCAUACAGAAAAUUUGUAUGUGUCUGGAUGACAACAAACCUCUGAAACUGUCUUUCUUCAGCGUUGCAAUAAUGUUAACUUCUGCUAGCGAUGCAAAUCCUAUGAAGACGGCUGGAAGGGCAUUCAAGUGGAAGUGUAGUGCUACUGUUGAGGUCGUGUAGGUCGCUGAGAGGGAUGUUAAAACUUACUCUUCAAAACCAAACUCUCACAAAGUUAACGUCAUCCCUUUCAGCGACCUACACGACCUAAACAGCAGCAGCACUACACACACACUUGAAUGCUUUACACACACACUUGAAUGCUCUACACAAACCUUAUAAUCCUUAAUAAACAAUAAACAAUAAACAACAUCAACAGCAGCACUACACACACACUUGAAUGCUCUUCCUGCCGUCUUCAUACGCGUCGAUAGAUAGAUAGAUGCGUUGCCUAUAUGCGUCGGUAUGCACCUUCAAAAGAGAUUUGUUGAACUAAACGAUUUGUUGUUGAUUUGUUAACUUUGUUACGCUGUUCUUUAAAGCUUUGAUGCAAUCUUUUGUUUUGUAAGUAGUUUUACAAGAAAAAUAAAUAAUGUGAUACAUCUUAAGUUUUUCUCAUCUCACUCUUUUUAAUAGAAAUCUUACAUAGAUUUGAAUGUUUCUUGUAGAGUAACUUUCAGUUUAAAGUCAGUUUGUAAAC
ensembl:lncRNA